CGUGGCCCUGCAGGCGUCACAGGUGGACUGUGCUCCACAUGUGGGCCUGCAGGUGUCACAGGUGGACUGUGUCCUACAUGUGGACCUGCAGGUGUCACAGGUGGACUGUGUCCUACAUG